GGUCCGUUGGUCAAGGGGUUAAGACACCGCCCUUUCACGGCGGUAACACGGGUUCGAAUCCCGUACGGACUA
rnacentral:tRNA from 2 species